rnacentral:sRNA from 1 species
GCCAGGCAUGGUGGUGCAAGCCUGUAAUCCCAGCAAUUUGGGAGGCUGAGGCAGGAGGAUCACAAGUUCAAACCCAGCCUCAG